rnacentral:rRNA from 2 species
UCUCAACAACGGAUAUCUUGGCUCCCGUAACGAUGAAGAACGCAGCGAAAUGCGAUACGUAGUGUGAAUUGCAGAAUUCCGUGAACCAUCGAAUCUUUGAACGCAAAUUGCGCUCGAGGCUUCGGCCAAGAGCAUGUCUGCCUCAGCGUCGGCUACUACCC